rnacentral:rRNA from 1 species
GUCGAACGAUGAACCCGCUUCGGUGGGGGAUUAGUGGCGAACGGGUGAGUAACACGUGGGCAAUCUGCCCUGUACUUUGGGAUAAGCCUGGGAAACUGGGUCUAAUACCGGAUAUGACUUCUGCGGGCAUCCGUGGAAGUGGAAAGCUCCGGCGGUACGGGAUGAGCCCGCGGCCUAUCAGCUUGUUGGUGGGGUAAUGGCCUACCAAGGCGACGACGGGUAGCCGGCCUGAGAGGGUGACCGGCCACACUGGGACUGAGACACGGCCCAGACUCCUACGGGAGGCAGCAGUGGGGAAUAUUGCACAAUGGGCGCAAGCCUGAUGCAGCGACGCCGCGUGAGGGAUGACGGCCUUCGGGUUGUAAACCUCUUUCGCCAGGGACGAAGCGCAAGUGACGGUACCUGGAUAAGAAGCACCGGCUAACUACGUGCCAGCAGCCGCGGUAAUACGUAGGGUGCGAGCGUUGUCCGGAAUUAUUGGGCGUAAAGAGCUCGUAGGCGGUUUGUCGCGUCGUUCGUGAAAACUCCACGCUUAACGUGGAGCGUGCGGGCGAUACGGGCAGACUUGAGUUCGGUAGGGGAGACUGGAAUUCCUGGUGUAGCGGUGAAAUGCGCAGAUAUCAGGAGGAACACCGGUGGCGAAGGCGGGUCUCUGGGCCGAUACUGACGCUGAGGAGCGAAAGCGUGGGGAGCGAACAGGAUUAGAUACCCUGGUAGUCCACGCUGUAAACGUUGGGCGCUAGGUGUGGGCGACAUCCACGUUGUCCGUGCCGUAGCUAACGCAUUAA